CCCACAAAAGGUUUGUCCAAGAACCCCAUAGGAGGUGGGGUUCAUCGAGGAACCUCCUUAGGUUGUGGGGGUUCUUGCAGGAACUGAAACUGAAACAUUUGGAUUUGAAUUUGAAAGGACAGCAGGUGCAACUUAAAAAUGUUAAGAUCUCCUUAAUUUAAGGUUUGUCCCUUGUAUGAUCUAAAUUGAUAUUGUUUUAUAAUGAUACCAUCUAUCUUUUCAUAUCUUUCUAAAACAGAAAAUGAACACAAUUCAAUGGAUAUCAAUCAACAAAGAGGUAUACAGAUGAGGAGGCAUACAAAGGUAUGUCAAUAGAUAUUGGUAUGUUAUGCAGAUCAUCCUCCUCCCUUACUUCUUCAAUGAAAAUAUCAUAGGCCUCUACGUUAUGGACAAGACUUCACCCUCCCUACACCUCUGAUGAAUAUAACAGGGAACCUGUUCGAUCACCAUGCACUGCAAAAUCAUUCGGUCUCUGGAUACGGAGAACAUCAACAUCAACAGGACAAAGGAUAUACACAUUGGACUUGGGGCUCUGCUGGGAGUUUGCCUCAUAUUUAAAAAACAUGUAUUCUGCUUUGCCACUAAAAUCAUAAUAAACACUGACAACUAAAAUAUUGUGUUAUUGUUAUGCGCAUUAUAAUUAUUAUUAAUAAAAUUUGGGAGGGGGGUAGUUCAAAAAUGAACCCCAAAAGGUUCUUCAAAAGGUUAUUUGAGGAUCCAUUAAAAGGGGUUCUUUGAAGAACUUAAGGGGUUCCCACUCGGUUUCAAUUUGAAGAACCCCUAAAGGAUACUCCAGAAACCUUUUAUUUUUAGAGUGUGGUUAUACUGUAAGCCUAUCAAAGAUGGUGGAUGAAUGAAGAUGUCUUACUCAGGCAGUUUACCAUUGGAGAAAAUGGUCAAGUUUCCUGUCUGUGUAAGUAGGCGUUCCCAUGUGAGACCAAUGGCUCUGGUCUACUUAUUGUCUCUACCCGUUCUCCCCACCCGCAGGGGGAAAUAAGUAGACCAGAGUGGCGCCGCCCCCAGAGUGGGGUGUCUUGCUUUCUCUACCGCCUCCGGGUCUAUACUGAAUUAGUUACCCCUACCUAUUAGUGCUUUGUUUCCAUCCCACAUCAUUUCUUUUUAAAGAAAAUACAUAGGCCAGUACCUAAAUUAUUUUUACAACACCACACACACAAUGGUUUUGACUUGUAGAUAUGACUGAAUGAUUUUGUCCCGUUGUUUCUUAUUGUGUUGCUGUACGCCUAUG